AACCCAUGGUUUCCGUUGACCUGAAUAAAUGAUUUAAAGUGGUAUGUUCCAUCAGAGAUAUGGAGCCUUGAAGAUCCGGGUUAGCUUCACU